AUUAAUAACCCAGAGAUCAGCCCAGAUAUUCACCCUCCAAGAGGGUGGCCAGAUUUACGUACAACCUACUCCUCUUCCAAAUAUUUAACUUCCCUCUGCACCAAGAGGAUAAUGAGAUUUUUGAUUUAUGACCCCUCUGAUGAUCGUUAUAUUUUCAAUUCGCCUUCUAUUACAUUAAUUUUCCUUAAGUUUCUAGUUAAAAAUAUCACGUUUGUUUCGAUUACUCCCUGGGAUUUUAUUAUUAUUAUACAAUUUAUAUUUAUUUUCUAUUUAUAUUCGUUCGUAAAUUGCUUUUAGAAAAAAUGUUUUAAAAAAAGAGGAGGAGGAGGAGGAGGAGGAGGAAGAAGAAGAAGAAGAGGAAGAGCAGGAGGAUCGUUUCAAGCUUGAUCAUGCACGUGAUAAACAAUCUCUGUGUUUACAGCGAGAUAUCGAGAUAGCACGUGGAGCUUUAAUGGCACGCCAUAACUAAAUAUAGAGGCUUGGCCUCUAAGGUCAGCAUAGAUACCGAUCCCAUUUAACCAAGGGUGCAUUCAGUAAUAAGAACUGAAUGUAAUAAGAACUUCGUAAUUAAUCAUUGGAGCAAGGAACUGCGACUGACACACAUAAUUUGAGGUCAACGUAACCGGUAUACCACCCAUCCUCAAUUUUCACGAAAUUGAUUAGAUAGGAUUUUCACCUCGUCUACAUCGGAACUUAAUAAUGGACAGUUUGUUGCCCCGAAAAACUUUUAUGUAAAAUCACAGAGAAAUUUUGAAUCGAAGUUUUGACAAUUGCGUUUCUUACACGUCUGAUCACCUAUCGAUUUAUUCUACUUGAACAAGUCAAGGAAAAUUUAUGCAAAAAUUAUUACAUUUUCCCCCCUCAAAAUUUUGGCAAAGACAGCUUCGUAGUUUCAUCUAUUUUUUUUUAUUUGUCUCGAAAAACGAGUCAAGGUCACGAAAAAUUUGACUCCAUCGUACGUUAAACGUGGAAAAAAAGAAUUUGGCAAAUGAAAGCUGUUUGGAUUCGAUCCAGGAUCUCGAAUGUAUUUCAUCGUAAAUGUUUUCUUUCUACUUCCUACAACACAUUGUUUCUAAUAAUUUGUAUCCAAUCUCAAGAAUAUUUCCAACCAUUUACCUGGGAAUUGGAGUAAGACUGGGACUCGCUGCAAUCGAGGACACCGUCUUUGACCACGUAAUGUAUCAAGUCCAUGGCCCUUCGCAUCUGG
rnacentral:lncRNA from 1 species